AAAUUAAUUAAGAGGCAACUCUUAACUGGCCAUCUAGGGAAAAAUCGAGAGAUUCAAGCCUAGAGGGCAGAAAGCUCCGCGAAGUAGCGCUUAAAUCACGGAGCGGGAAGGCAUGGCGGUAGCGCAUACAACGACGUGCCAA
rnacentral:sRNA from 10 species